AUUGAACGCUGGCGGCAGGCCUAACACAUGCAAGUCGAACGGUAACAGGAAGCAGCUUGCUGCUUCGCUGACGAGUGGCGGACGGGUGAGUCAUGUCUGGGAAGCUGCCUGGUGGAGGGGGAUAACUACUGGACACGGAAGCUAAUACCGCAUCAUGUCGCAAGACGAAACGGGGGGACCUCGCGCCGGCUUGGCGUCGGAUGGCCCGAGAUGGGGUUGGUUGGUUGGUGGGUUAACGGCCCACCAAGGCUACGAUCCCUAGCUGGUCUGAGAGGAUGACCAGCCACACUGGAACUGAGACACGUUCCAGACUCCUACGGGAGGCAGCAGUGGGGAAUUUUGCACAAUGGGCGCAAGCCUGAUGCAGCCAUGCCGCGUGUAGGAUGAAGGCCUUCGGGUUGUAAAGUACUUUCGGCGGGGAGGAAGGGACUAAUUUUAAUAACGAUGCGCAUUGACGUUACCGGAAGAAGAAGCACCGGCUAACUACGUG
rnacentral:rRNA from 1 species